GUGCUUGCUUCGGCAGCACCUAUACUAAAAUUGGAAUGAUACAGAGAAGAUAGCAUGGCCCUUGCACAAGGAUGACACGCCAAUUCAUGAAGUGUUCCAUAUUUUU
rnacentral:snRNA from 1 species